rnacentral:rRNA from 1 species
GAUGAACGCUAGCUGCAGGCUUAACACAUGCAAGUCGAGGGACCGGCGCACGGGUGAGUAACACGUAUCCAACCUGCCCUUUACUCGUGGAUAGCCUUUCGAAAGAAUGAUUAAUACUCGAUUUAAAGGAUGGGGAUGCGUUCCAUUAGGUUGUUGGUGAGGUAGCGGCUCACCAAGCCUUCGAUGGUUAGGGGUUCUGAGAGGAAGGUCCACGACAUCGGAGCAGUGACACGGUCCAAACUCCUACGGGCGGGAGCGGUGUGGAAUAUAGGGCAAUGGGCGUUAGCGUGAACCAGCCAAGUAGCGGGAAGGAUGAAGGCUUAUGGGUCGUAAACUUCUUUUAUAUAAGAAUAGGUAUUAUAUGAAUAAGGAUCGGCUAACUCCGUGCCAGCAGCCGCGGUAAUAC